GGGGGCGUAAUUUAAUGGUAGAAUAGCGGUCUCCAAAACCGCUAAUGGGAGUUCGAUUCUCUCCGCCCCUG
rnacentral:tRNA from 1 species